GGGUUGUGAGGUUAAGCGACUAAGCGUACACGGUGGAUGCCCUGGCAGUCAGAGGCGAUGAAGGACGUGCUAAUCUGCGAUAAGCGUCGGUAAGGUGAUAUGAACCGUUAUAACCGGCGAUUUCCGAAUGGGGAAACCCAGUGUGAUUCGUCACACUAUCAUUAACUGAAUCCAUAGGUUAAUGAGGCGAACCGGGGGAACUGAAACAUCUAAGUACCCCGAGGAAAAGAAAUCAACCGAGAUUCCCCCAGUAGCGGCGAGCGAACGGGGAGCAGCCCAGAGCCUGAAUCAGUGUGUGUGUUAGUGGAAGCGUCUGGAAAGGCGCGCGAUACAGGGUGACAGCCCCGUACACAAAAAUGCACAUGCUGUGAGCUCGAUGAGUAGGGCGGGACACGUGGUAUCCUGUCUGAAUAUGGGGGGACCAUCCUCCAAGGCUAAAUACUCCUGACUGACCGAUAGUGAACCAGUACCGUGAGGGAAAGGCGAAAAGAACCCCGGCGAGGGGAGUGAAAAAGAACCUGAAACCGUGUACGUACAAGCAGUGGGAGCACGCUUAGGCGUGUGACCGCGUACCUUUUGUAUAAUGGGUCAGCGACUUAUAUUCUGUAGCAAGGUUAACCGAAUAGGGGAGCCGAAGGGAAACCGAGUCUUAACUGGGCGUUAAGUUGCAGGGUAUAGACCCGAAACCCGGUGAUCUAGCCAUGGGCAGGUUGAAGGUUGGGUAACACUAACUGGAGGACCGAACCGACUAAUGUUGAAAAAUUAGCGGAUGACUUGUGGCUGGGGGUGAAAGGCCAAUCAAACCGGGAGAUAGCUGGUUCUCCCCGAAAGCUAUUUAGGUAGCGCCUCGUGAAUUCAUCUCCGGGGGUAGAGCACUGUUUCGGCAAGGGGGUCAUCCCGACUUACCAACCCGAUGCAAACUGCGAAUACCGGAGAAUGUUAUCACGGGAGACACACGGCGGGUGCUAACGUCCGUCGUGAAGAGGGAAACAACCCAGACCGCCAGCUAAGGUCCCAAAGUCAUGGUUAAGUGGGAAACGAUGUGGGAAGGCCCAGACAGCCAGGAUGUUGGCUUAGAAGCAGCCAUCAUUUAAAGAAAGCGUAAUAGCUCACUGGUCGAGUCGGCCUGCGCGGAAGAUGUAACGGGGCUAAACCAUGCACCGAAGCUGCGGCAGCGACGCUUAUGCGUUGUUGGGUAGGGGAGCGUUCUGUAAGCCUGUGAAGGUGUACUGUGAGGUAUGCUGGAGGUAUCAGAAGUGCGAAUGCUGACAUAAGUAACGAUAAAGCGGGUGAAAAGCCCGCUCGCCGGAAGACCAAGGGUUCCUGUCCAACGUUAAUCGGGGCAGGGUGAGUCGACCCCUAAGGCGAGGCCGAAAGGCGUAGUCGAUGGGAAACAGGUUAAUAUUCCUGUACUUGGUGUUACUGCGAAGGGGGGACGGAGAAGGCUAUGUUGGCCGGGCGACGGUUGUCCCGGUUUAAGCGUGUAGGCUGGUUUUCCAGGCAAAUCCGGAAAAUCAAGGCUGAGGCGUGAUGACGAGGCACUACGGUGCUGAAGCAACAAAUGCCCUGCUUCCAGGAAAAGCCUCUAAGCAUCAGGUAACAUCAAAUCGUACCCCAAACCGACACAGGUGGUCAGGUAGAGAAUACCAAGGCGCUUGAGAGAACUCGGGUGAAGGAACUAGGCAAAAUGGUGCCGUAACUUCGGGAGAAGGCACGCUGAUAUGUAGGUGAAGUCCCUCGCGGAUGGAGCUGAAAUCAGUCGAAGAUACCAGCUGGCUGCAACUGUUUAUUAAAAACACAGCACUGUGCAAACACGAAAGUGGACGUAUACGGUGUGACGCCUGCCCGGUGCCGGAAGGUUAAUUGAUGGGGUUAGCCGCAAGGCGAAGCUCUUGAUCGAAGCCCCGGUAAACGGCGGCCGUAACUAUAACGGUCCUAAGGUAGCGAAAUUCCUUGUCGGGUAAGUUCCGACCUGCACGAAUGGCGUAAUGAUGGCCAGGCUGUCUCCACCCGAGACUCAGUGAAAUUGAACUCGCUGUGAAGAUGCAGUGUACCCGCGGCAAGACGGAAAGACCCCGUGAACCUUUACUAUAGCUUGACACUGAACAUUGAGCCUUGAUGUGUAGGAUAGGUGGGAGGCUUUGAAGUGUGGACGCCAGUCUGCAUGGAGCCGACCUUGAAAUACCACCCUUUAAUGUUUGAUGUUCUAACGUUGACCCGUAAUCCGGGUUGCGGACAGUGUCUGGUGGGUAGUUUGACUGGGGCGGUCUCCUCCUAAAGAGUAACGGAGGAGCACGAAGGUUGGCUAAUCCUGGUCGGACAUCAGGAGGUUAGUGCAAUGGCAUAAGCCAGCUUGACUGCGAGCGUGACGGCGCGAGCAGGUGCGAAAGCAGGUCAUAGUGAUCCGGUGGUUCUGAAUGGAAGGGCCAUCGCUCAACGGAUAAAAGGUACUCCGGGGAUAACAGGCUGAUACCGCCCAAGAGUUCAUAUCGACGGCGGUGUUUGGCACCUCGAUGUCGGCUCAUCACAUCCUGGGGCUGAAGUAGGUCCCAAGGGUAUGGCUGUUCGCCAUUUAAAGUGGUACGCGAGCUGGGUUUAGAACGUCGUGAGACAGUUCGGUCCCUAUCUGCCGUGGGCGCUGGAGAACUGAGGGGGGCUGCUCCUAGUACGAGAGGACCGGAGUGGACGCAUCACUGGUGUUCGGGUUGUCAUGCCAAUGGCACUGCCCGGUAGCUAAAUGCGGAAGAGAUAAGUGCUGAAAGCAUCUAAGCACGAAACUUGCCCCGAGAUGAGUUCUCCCUGACUCCUUGAGAGUCCUGAAGGAACGUUGAAGACGACGACGUUGAUAGGCCGGGUGUGUAAGCGCAGCGAUGCGUUGAGCUAACCGGUACUAAUGAACCGUGAGGCUUAACCUUACAACGCCGUAGCUGUU
rnacentral:rRNA from 1 species